AUGGCGACCGGCGCACGGGUGAGUAGCACGUAUCCAACCUGCCUCAUACUCGGGGAUAGCCUUUCGAAAGAAAGAUUAAUAUCCGAUAGCAUAUAUUUCCCGCAUGGGUUUUAUAUUAAAGAAAUUCGGUAUGAGAUGGGGAUGCGUUCCAUUAGUUUGUUGGGGGGGCAACGGCCCACCAAGACUACGAUGGAUAGGGGUUCUGAGAGGAAGGUCCCCCACAUUGGAACUGAGACACGGUCCAA
rnacentral:rRNA from 1 species